rnacentral:tRNA from 1 species
GGCCGUGUGGCUCAAUGGCAGAGCGUCUGACUACGAAUCAGGAGGUUGCAGGUUCGACCCCUGCCUCGGUCA